GUUCAGUUAAAGCCGAUAAAAUGAGACAGAGAGAAGGAAUGGUUGCAAGUAAUGAUCAAUUACAAGAGACAUUUGUUCAUCAUCGUCUAAUAUAUGUUCUUAAAAAGCUUUCCAAAUAUGCUAACAAGGAGAAGGAGAAGACAAGUCAAGUGCUUACUCAAGUUCUUUGAGUGGUAAAUAAUGUUGACGAAGCUAACAGUGAGGCACGAAAGCAGAGCAUUCAAGGAGUUGUUGAACUCUAGAUAUUACACUUUAGAUUACUGGACAACCCAAACAUGUAUGCUGAUCUUAUCUUUGUUUAUCCUAGUCAUAGUUAUAUUCAUUCAUGAUGGUUAUUCAUUCAUUAGGGCAUUGUAGUAUUGUUGUAGACAGGGACACUUAUUUGUGUAAACUCUAGCUAACUUAUUAGAAGAGAACCAUAUUUUAAACUGUGUGCAAAUUUGAGAAAUCUGUGCAUUCAUUUUACCUCUCCUUUUGGGCAAGGACAGAAGCAGAUAUAUGGAGCAUUGGUGUAAUUGCAUAUAUUUUUUUAUGUGGAAGCCGACCCUUUUGGGCAAGGGUAGAAUCUGGCAUAUUUCGGGCUGUCCUGAAGGCAGAUCCAAGUUUGGAUGAAGCUCCUUGGCCAUCUUUAUCAGCUGAUGCAGUGGAUUUUUUAAAGAGACUGUUGAACAAAGAUUAUCGGAAAAGGCUAACUGCAGCUCAGGUUCUCAUAUGUGCUCCAUUUCCCAUAGGUUGUGUGGCAUUAACUUCUGCAUUUUAUAAUCCUAUGAAUUCUUGCUCAUAGCUUUAUUUUAUGCACAUGUCAACCAUGGCUGACGACGAGUUAUUGUGAUGAUGUGAAGAUACCUUUUGAUACGAUAAUCCACAAGCUUGUUAAAGCUUAUAUAUGCUCAUCUUCUUUACGUAAAUCAGCAUUAGGGGAUUUAUUUGCAAUAGCACAAGACCAGCCAUUCCGUUUUCCAUCUACCUUUGUCGUUGUUCUCAGGGCUUUUUCAACACUUGAAGGCAUAGGUUACACACUCAAUCCAAAUUUCUCCUUUGGAAGGAUUGUUGCACCCUAUGCAUAGGUUCAGAGUUCAGAUAGCCCAUGAACAAUUAUAGUUCCCAUACUGCAUUAAAAUACAAUGCUCAUACUUUCUUACUACGUUACAGGAACUUUUAGAUAUGAGGCAAAAGCAGAUUACACCACCACAACUUGUGGAGGAGAUAAGAAAGCAAGCAGAUGAUGUACCACACACACCUCUUCCUUGAACUAUUUUUGUUUUUGUUUUUCUCUAUGAUGUUUUUUUACAUCUAUUUGAUGUGAAGCAUAUACUUAUGGCAUUGUUCAAUGUGAUGAUCCAUUUGAAUCGAUAACUCUGGUGUAAUUCUUUUAGGCCAGAUCCUACACCAUGUCAAUGCCAUAUAGAGUUCAAAGAAUAGAAGAGUUUACAAAGCAACUUGUAGCAGGGGAUCUAAAACUUCCAGUACGAGUUCUCGAGGUCAGUUUAUUCAUUUCUUUUGUUGAAUUAUUUAUUUGAUCGUUAUAGUUUUUCUCAUUUUAAA